rnacentral:rRNA from 1 species
UGUGUCUGUAGUGAAAGCGUGGGGCUCAACCCCAUACACAUUAUGGAAACUGCAUGGCUAGAGGACGAGAGAGGUUAUUGGAAUUCCCAGUGUAGGAGUGAAAUCCGUAGAUAUUGGGAGGAACACCGAUGGCGUAGGCAGAUAACUGGCUCGUUCCUGACACUAAGGCACGAAAGCGUGGGGAGCAAACGGGAUUAGAUACCCCGGUAGUCCACGCCGUAAACGACGGAUGCUA